rnacentral:rRNA from 1 species
CUCAGUAACACGUGGAUAACCUGCCCUUAGGAUUGGCAUAACACCGGGAAACUGGUGAUAAUACCGAAUAGACCAUUUAUGCUGGAAUGCUUUUUGGUUCAAAGGCUUCGGCUGCCUAAGGAUGGAUCUGCGGCCUAUCAGGUAGUAGUGGGUGUAAUGUACCUACUAGCCUACGACGGGUACGGGUUGUGAGAGCAAGAGCCCGGAGAUGGAUUCUGAGACAUAAAUCCAGACCCUACGGGGUGCAGCAGGCGCGAAAUCUUUACAAUGCGGGAAACCGCGAUAAGGGGACACUGAGUGCCAGCAUAUUAUGUUGGCUGUCCACAUGUCUAAAAACCAUGUGUUAGCAAGGGCCGGGCAAGACCGGUGCCAGCCGCCGCGGUAACACCGGCGGCCCGAGUGGUGAUCACUUUUAUUGGGUCUAAAGGGUCCGUAGCCGGUUUAAUCAGUCUUCUGGGAAAUCUGACAGCUCAAUUGUUAGGCUUUCAGGGGAUACUGUUAAGCUUGGGACCGGGAGAGGUAAGAGGUACUACAGGGGUAGGAGUGAAAUCUUGUAAUCCCUGUGGGACCGCCGGUGGCGAAGGCGUCUUACCAGAACGGGUCCGACGGUGAGGGACGAAAGCUGGGGGCACGAACCGGAUUAGAUACCCGGGUAGUCCCAGCUGUAAACGAUGUUCGCUAAGUGUCAGGGACGGUGCGACCGUUUCUGGUGCCGUAGGGAAGCCGUGAAGCGAACCACCUGGGAAGUACGGCCGCAAGGCUGAAACUAAA